UACGGAGGGUGCAAGCGUUGUUCGGAAUUAUUGGGCGUAAAGCGCGUGUAGGCGGCGUGACAAGUCGGGUGUGAAAGCCCUCAGCUCAACUGAGGAAGUGCGCCCGAAACUGUCGUGCUUGAGUGCCGGAGAGGGUGGCGGAAUUCCCCAAGUAGAGGUGAAAUUCGUAGAUAUGGGGAGGAACACCGGUGGCGAAGGCGGCCACCUGGACGGCUACUGACGCUGAGACGCGAAAGCGUGGGGAGCAAACAGG
rnacentral:rRNA from 1 species